GCUGUGGCUCAGUGGCAGAGCACUUGCCUGGCAUGUGUAAGGCACUGAGUUUGAUCCUCAGCACAGCA
rnacentral:tRNA from 1 species